rnacentral:lncRNA from 1 species
AUGGCCACAGUUCCUGAGUUGCUGCAGCAGCAGGAGGAGGACCACAGGAAGCUGAGAUCUGUAUCUGUGGACCUGAAUGUUGAUCCCUCACUUCAGAUUGACAUACCUGAUGCGCUCAGUGAGAGAGAUAAGGUCAAAUUUACAGUGCACACAAAGACCACACUGCCCACAUUUCAGAAUCCAGAGUUUUCUGUUACAAGGCAACAUGAGGACUUUGUGUGACUACAUGACACUCUUCAUGUACCCUAGAACUUAAAGUAUAACAAAAAAAAAAAAAAAAAAAAGAAAGAACAGACCAUGCUGGGCUUAUUAUUCCGCCUGCUCCUACGAAGGCUGACUUCAAUGGUCCUUGAGAGAAGAUGCAGAAACUGGGAGAAGGUAAAGGGUCUUUGACCAAAGAAGAAUUUGCCAAGAUGAAAUAAGAACUGGAAGCUGAGUAUCUCGCUGUUUUUAAGAAGACUGUGUCCUCCCAUGAAGCCUUUCUUUAGUGGCUUUCUUCUCACCCUGUUCUCAGUAAAGAUCGCAACUUUCAUAUUUUCCUGGAAUAUGAUCAGGAUCUAAGUGUUAGGUGGAAAAAUACUAAAGAGAUGUUUGGUGGCUUCUUCAAAAGUGUGGUGAAAGUGCUGAUGCAGUCCUUUUUACUGGAGUUAAGGAGGUAGAUGACUUCUUUGAGCAAGAGAAUGACUUCCUUAUUAACUAUUAGAGUAGGAUCAAAGAUUCUUGUGUGAAAGCUGACAAAAUGACCAGAUCUCAUAAAAAUGUUGCCGAUGACUAUAUUCACACUGCAGCCUGCUUACAUAGCCUGGCUUUAGAAGAGCCCACAGUCAUCAAAAAGUAUCUAUUGAAGGUUGCUGAGCUAUUUGAAAAACUUAGGAAAGUAGAGGGUUGAAUCUCAUCAGAUGAAGAUUUAAAGCUAACAGAGCUCCUCCGAUACUACAUGCUCAACAUCGAAGCUGCUAAGGAUCUCUUACACAGAUGCACCAAAGCCCUCAUUGACUAUGAAAAAUCAAACAAAGCUCUGGAUAAGGCCCAGUUUAAAGAGCAAAGAUGUCAAGUUGGCUAAGGUACACUAGGAGGAGUGCUGCCAGAAAUUUGAAUAGCUUUCCAAAUCUGCAAAGGAAGAACUGAUAAAUUUCAAACGGAAGAAAGUGGCAGCAUUUAGAAAGAAUCUAAUUGAAAUGUCUGAACUGGAAAUAAAACAUGCGAGGAACAGUGUCUCCCUUUUGCAGAGCUGUAUUGACUUGUUCAAGAAUAAC